rnacentral:rRNA from 1 species
GACGAACGCUGGCGGCGCGCUUAAUACAUGCAAGUCGAGCGAGAACCAGGCCUUCGGGCCUGGGGAAAGCGGCGAACGGGUGGGUAACGCGUGGGUAAUCUGCCCUCGGCACUGGGGUAGCCCGGGGAAACCCGGAUUAAUACCGGAUAGCCUUUCGAGCCUUCGGGCUCGUCAUAAAAGGUGGCUUCGGCUUCCGGCUGAGGAAGAGCCCGCGGCGGAUUAGUUUGUUGGUGGGGUAAUGGCUCACCAAGGCUCCGAUCCGUAGCUGGUCUGAGAGGACGAUCAGCCACACUGGGACUGAGACACGGCCCAGACUCCUACGGGAGGCAGCAGUAGGGAAUCUUGCGCAAUGGGCGAAAGCCUGACGCAGCGACGCCGCGUGCGGGAAGAAGGCCUUCGGGUUGUAAACCGCUUUCAGGAGGGACGAAGCCACUCGGGUUAAUAGCCCAGAGGGUGACGGUACCUCCAGAAGAAGCCCCGGCUAACUACGUGCCAGCCGCCGCAGAAAGAC